UGGGUUGUGGCUCAGUGGUAGAGCACUCGCCUAGCAUGUGUGAGGCACUGGGUUCAAUUCUCAGCACUGCAU
rnacentral:tRNA from 1 species